rnacentral:rRNA from 1 species
CAUUACCGAGUUUUCAACUCCCAAACCCCUGUGAACAUACCAUACUGUUGCCUCGGCGGUGCCUGUUCCGACAGCCCGCCAGAGGACCCCAAACCCAAAUUUCUUUGAGACGUAUUCUGAGUAACCGAUUAAAUAAAUCAAAACUUUCAACAACGGAUCUCUUGGUUCUGGCAUCGAUGAAGAACGCAGCGAAAUGCGAUAAGUAAUGUGAAUUGCAGAAUUCAGUGAAUCAUCGAAUCUUUGAACGCACAUUGCGCCCGCUAGUAUUCUGGCGGGCAUGCCUGUUCGAGCGUCAUUUCAACCCUCAAGCCCCCGGGCUUGGUGUUGGGGAUCGGCGAGCCUCUGCGCCCGCCGUCCCCUAAAUUUAGUGGCGGUCACGUUGUAACUUCCUCUGCGUAGUAGCACACUUAGCACUGGGAAUCAGCGAGGCCACGCCGUAAAACACCCAACUUUAGAAUGUUUGACCUCGAAUCAGGUAGGACUACCCGCUGAACUUAAGCAUAUCAAUAAGCGGAGGAAAAGAAACCAACAGGGAUUGCCCUAGUAACGGCGAGUGAAGCGGCAACAGCUCAAAUUUGAAAUCUGGCCUUCGGGUCCGAGUUGUAAUUUGUAGAGGAUGCUUUUGGUGAGGUGCCUUCCGAGUUCCCUGGAACGGGACGCCAUAGAGGGUGAGAGCCCCGUCUGGUUGGACACCGAUCCUCUGUAAAGCUCCUUCAACGAGUCGAGUAGUUUGGGAAUGCUGCUCUAAAUGGGAGGUAUAUGUCUUCUAAAGCUAAAUAUUG